rfam:Shewanella woodyi ATCC 51908, complete genome.
UUAUCUAUAAUUGUUUACAGGUUCUAAACUCAACGACCUCGUUAUUACGGGGUUUUUUGUUAUCUGGAACUUAUAAAAUGCCGAUUAAUCGGUGUUGUACUGGGGCUAUUUAGCCCUUUUUUG